AAUUAAGAAAUUGGAAUAGAAGAUUAAUUUACUGUGGAGAGGUGGAAUUCGUACACAGGAAGUUAUAUUAAUGCUUCUGUCUAUUUGAUGCUUCGAAAAUUAAGUUAAAGACCGGGAUUAGAUACCCCGUUAUUUUUUUUGUAAAUUUUGAUUAUUAUAUAAUUUACCUGAGUAUUACGGGUUGAAAUAUUUUUAUGUUUGAUAUAGUUGGUACGUUAAAUAUUUAGAUACUUAAAACUCAAAAAACUUGGCGGUGCCUUAUUUCCUCCCAGGGGAACCUGUCCUGUAAUCGAUGAUCCGCGAUUUAUCUUACUUUUUUUUGAAUUACAUUAUUUGUUUAUCAGUUUGUAUACCGUCGUCGUCAGAUUACCUUUAAGAGUUAUAGAGUUGUCGGAUAAAUUAGGAAAACUGUUGCAGCUUAAUUAUAGGCGCAUAAAUGUGGUUAGUUUUUGAUGUCAGAUCAAGGUGCAGCUUAUGAAGAAGUAGAGAUGGGUUACAAUAUAGAUUUUAUAUUAUGGAUAUUGACUUGUAAUAGUCAAGUGAAAGUGGACUUGGAAGUAAUAUAUUUUAGUAAAGCUAAAUUAGUAAGUUUUUGUGAAUAAAGGUACUAAGGUGCGC
rnacentral:rRNA from 1 species